GGCCUCUUCAUUUUUUAGUGAGCUUAAGCAAUAUAAACUGGCGAACAUUUUCUCGGUAGCGGUUAGUUGCUUGGCUCGGCACAUUGCUCAGGAACCUACCAAUAAACGCUAGGAGUUCGGAUGGAGUUGAGUGAUUGAGAGUUAAUAGUACUAGAGUACUUUGAUGUAGAGUGGGUCCAACGAGAACCUUAACCCAGCCUUUAGUUCUUCUUCAUAGAUAAUUACUCGAUCUCCCCCUUCAAAGUGGUGAUUGGCUCCCAAGUGAUCUUUGCAAGCUUCCGCUUCAUAUGGCUAUUCGAGGAUAUGGUAGAUGGUCAUGAG
rnacentral:misc_RNA from 1 species